UACGAAGGGUGCAAACGUUGCUCGGAAUUAUUGGGCGUAAAGCGCACGUAGGCGGCAUUGCAAGUCGGAUGUGAAAUCCCUCGGCUUAACCAAGGAAGUGCAUCCGAAACUGCAGUGCUUGAGUACUUAAGAGGAUCGCGGAAUUCCCGGUGUAGAGGUGAAAUUCGUAGAUAUUCGGAAGAACACCAGUGGCGAAGGCGACUAACUGGACAUGUAUUGACGCUGAGGUGCGAAAGCGUGGGGAGCAAACAGG
rnacentral:rRNA from 1 species